CGCGUCUCAUCUUUGCUUGUUUGCCGUUGGGCUAGGAUAAGGUUCAAUGUCAAUACUACGAUGUAUUAAAUAAGAUUAAUCUUAACAAAUUUAACUAUAAACUGCAUCAAUACAUAUUAAAACCCCAAUUAUUCAAAUGUCAAUUUUAGAGCAAAACUCAUGAUUAUCGUUCCGUAUAAGUGCCUUUCUAUUAAUAUAAAUGGUUUCCCUAUCCGAAACACUGGUCUGAAAACCAACACAUCUGGCAUGCAUAACUGAAGGUAAUGGCGG